AUUCAUAUAAAAACUGAUUCUUCUUUUUCUCAAUAAAAGAGAAAAAUAUCGUUUUACCUUUUAUUCAGUUUCUUCUCUUCCUAUUUUCUCUACCUUCUCCUUGGGAUCGUAGAAUUGCGAAGAGCCGGACUCUCUCGCCUUUUUCACCUCGCUCUCUGCUUUUCUCCUGUAUUUUAUCUCAUUUGGCUAUCAUUUCGCUUCUGAUUAUUAGGUACGUCAGCAUCCUCAUCCUCUCUUUUCUCCUGUAUUUCUUCUGCCUCUCGAACUUUAAGAGAGGGAGAGAGAGGGCAAUUCUCUUGCUUCUUUGUCUUUUUUACCUUUUUUUUUUUUUUUUCCCCUUUCGCAAUCCUCAUCCUUCAGUGGAAUUGAGGUCCUCGUUAUUAGGGCCAAACGUCAACGUCCUGCAUCCAAAGCCUGAAAAAGCGCCGAUCAUCCCCUGUAUUUCAUCUUUCCCAGUUUAGCUUAUUAGCUUCACUUAUCGCCCUGCAAAAAUUUUGCUGUCAAUUAAACCGAGUGAUCCAGCCCCCUAUCAUUACGCAAGACUAAAUUUAAACUCUUUUACCUGUUCUUUUCCAUCCUUAGAACCUUCUGCUGAUGUCUUUCAGCUCACAUCCAUCAAUCGAUCAUUUCAUUUGUUUCUCUCUUCUUACUGGCGAUCGAGAUUGAAGUCAAUAGAAAAGAAAGCAAAGAGAAAAGCUGAUUCGAUUGGAUUGAUCUGAUUCGCAAGAGAUGGGGUCGUUCAAAGGGCACGUGUUGCCAGGGAGUCUGUUUAUCAUGGUGGGAGCAUGGCACGUCUGGAGCGCGGCCGUGAGGUACGCAUCGGACCCGUCGGCCUUCCGCGUGCGGGUUUGGGGUGCUAUGGGCGAAGGGCGAUGGCGACACCUCGAGCUCUACAUAAUAACGAUUGGCGCUUUCAUCGACAUGUGCAUCGAGCUCCUGUACUCCACUCACCUCCACUUCUUCGUCGGCGAGGAGAGGAUCCUAAACCCUGCACAUAUGAACGAUUUCGAGCACGGCGGCAUGCUCCUGAUGUUUUUCCUCUACGGUGCGGUGGCGCUUCUCUCUGAGAAAACCAGAUGGCUUCCGUUGCCGGAGGGAGCUCUUUGCCAUCUAGCCUCCGCCGCCUUCACCGCCGAGUACCUCCUCUUCUACUUCCACUCAACCGCCCACACAGGUCUCGAAGGCUAUUACCACCUCAUCCUCGUCAUCCUCAUCGGCCUCUGCAUCACCUCCAGCAUCGCCGGUGCUUUCCUUACCGAAAAUCUCGCCGUCGACUUCUCAAGCGGCGUCUGCAUCACUCUGCAGGGCCUCUGGUUCUACCAAACCGCUUUCACUCUUUAUGGACCCAUGAUGCCGAGGGGAUGCAGGCUAGAUGACAACGAUAUCAAGUGCGUCACACGAGACAGUCAGAUUCGAGGGCAGUUCUUAGCCAAUAUGCAGUUCUUCUCCCUCGUAUUUCUGGUUUUUGCAUAUGUGAUAGUAUGCUACGCAGUUGCUGUAUCUCGGUAUGGUCAUCCGGAGCUGAGGAGAUUCCAGGAAGAGAAUGUGGGGCAAAGCGGCAAUGAUGCAGCAGUGAUUGUGGGACGGUGAUGACUGAGACAGAGGUGAAAUGAUUAUAACUCUAUGAUCGACGGAUGUUUGCAUUUGCUUCAAACAUGAGCAUGAGAGCAUUUACAUGUUGGUCGACCAACUGUUCAUGUUCCAGUUCCUCAGGAUAUAAUGGGCAGAUCCCUCAGGUUCAGGAUGAAUAACUCAACGCCUUUCAGAUCACCAAAACAUGCAGCGCUUAGUACGGUUCGAGAAGCUCAGAAAACAAUCUGUGUUCUAUAGUUUUACGGUUUUAAUCAAGGAUUGAUGGUAAAAAUUAUUUGUAGUUUUAGCAAACCCAGUUUGGGAUUCCAUAGCUAAAAUGUUGGGGAGAAUACACAAACAUAGUUGCAAACUGAGUUCAUAUUAUAGAGGAAUGAUG